CUUACAUCUGGCUAUUCGCUGAGAUGUGAGAUUUCCAUAGAUAUGUUCACAUCUUUUCGAAUUCGAGUUACUAAGAGCUGUAUUGUAAUAUUGACUUUUGAUUGACUGUAAAUCAUUCGCGUGUAGCAUUUCCCCAGUUGUAUUAUUACACCAAAACAUACUGACAUUUAGUAGGAUGAGAAACGUUCGAUGAGUUGAUAUGUACCUAGUACAUGAUAUUAGCGAUUUUUGUAUCAUUUC
rnacentral:lncRNA from 1 species